ACAGGGUUUUGAAUCGGAGGCAAAGGCAGCAUCCCUCCCUCAGUCAGAGGCUGUCGUCACGGCGACAGGAGGUGUCUGCUCCACGGCCGAGAGACGGAAUGCGAGGCAGAAACGGUCGCCGCAGCAACAAGAGCAUCCGAGGACUUCCAGGAUUCAAAGCAGGAGUGGAGAAGCCGAGGCUGCCGGGGGCUCGAAAAGAGGGGAACCGGGGCCAUUCUUUCAUCCACCACCUCCUCCUCCCUCACUCCUCCUCCUCCUCCUCCGCUGCUGCUUCACAUUCUCUCUGAAGGACAGCUCUGAAUGAACCCUCCUUCUGACGGUGGGAGAGUGUGGCUGGACGGACGCUGAAAGGAAAGACAUAAAAGAGUGGGAUUGUGUGUGGGAACGGGAGAGAGAGAAAUAGGGUUGAUUGGGAGGUAGACGGCAUGUGUGAUGGUGACUGACACCGCAACAAAACGGGAAGGAUGAUCCGAGCUCAGCCGAGCCGAAAACUGUAUUUUCGUCGUUCCUCAGGAGAAAGGAUAGGCAAACCUGCACGCACUUUCUACCACUGACCAGGGGAGAGGUGAGAGCGAGAAAGCGUGUCAGAGACCACUGCCUUAUGAAGUGUAUUUCCACGGGGGCUGGUGGGAUUCAAUUUGGUGUUGUGUCUUUCCAGAUUGUCUCUUCUGGCUGCGCCUUGAAGGGUCAACUUCUCCUCUUUUAUUCUCUUCCAAUUCUUCCCGAAACAAAGGACAUGGAAUUUAUCUUCUCUGAUGGCUUUUGAAGAAAGGCUAACAACUGGAUUUCACCCGUAAUCGAAGGAAACUAGAUUGAGAUCCGUCUUUAUCCAGCCAUUUAACGAAAUGGGUGAGAAAUGUCUCUCUGACCCAAAGGAAAGGAUGCGUCAUUCCGUCUGACGCCCCUCGGGGGAUUACGUGUGAAACAUUCAUCAUAACACUUAUUAUCCAGUUCAAGGACAACUAAAGUUGGAAUAUUUCACCUUUUGGUUUGACUUUAUUUUACUCUGAACACAAGAAAAAAGACAAAUGUUGCAGAUCUAAAACAAAGAAGCACUUAGCAAGAAAAGCAUCUUUGGGAGUUUCCUUUUUCUUCCUGGAUUGGAUUUUACGUGGAUCAGUCGCUCGUGCAACUCUCCUUGCCAUGUCUUCAUGGAAGAAAAGAAUUCUGCAUCAUAGACAACCGCUUUCCAUCCAAAGUUACACCUAAGGACUUGCACAGGCACACUAAACACAUGCUAGGGUGAAAUGAGCCACGCUUCUUGCGCAUUUCGCUUCUUCAUCCUGGAGUUCAGUGUGUGUUCUUGGAUCUAACAGCCUAAGCAUCCUUCAAUGAUUCCGGCACCUUUCGUUCCAUCCGCGUCUGUCCCGAGAUGCCCCGCAGUACACAGCAAGAGGAGGCUUGACCCCAGACCCAGCGAGGUCUCUCGGCUGCCCAGGCGUAUUUAAGAUGUUGAACCCUUCCCACGUGGCCCGAGCCCCAGAUCGGAUCAGUAGCACUGCGGCUCCCAGAGGCCCCAGACAUGGAUCGUGGCUCGGCUCGCCCCUGCCCUCAGUGCUCCGCACCCCGGCCCGUGAGCAGCCUGUGAAGGAUGUCCCAGAGCGGAGCUCCAGCCCGGGCACCCUCUGAGACCCCCAGUCAGAGAGAACAGAUCCGCAGCCACAUGAAGAUGGUGAUCAAGCAGCUGGAAGGAAUCCUCAAGGAGCUGAAAGAUGUGGCACAUGAACUGCGGGAGG